CAGUGUCCUUCGCGCACAUUUUGCGCACG
rnacentral:sRNA from 1 species